rnacentral:rRNA from 1 species
AGCAGCCGCGGUAAUUCCAGCUCCAAUAGCGUAUAUUAAAGUUGUUGAGGUUAAAAAGCUCGUAGUUGAACCUUGGGCCUAGCCGGCCGGUCCGCCUCACCGCGUGCACUGGCUCGGCUGGGUCUUUCCUUCUGGAGAACCGCAUGCCCUUCACUGGGUGUGCCGGGGAACCAGGACUUUUACUCUGAACAAAUUAGAUCGCUUAAAGAAGGCCUAUGCUCGAAUACAUUAGCAUGGAAUAAUAGAAUAGGACGUGUGGUUCUAUUUUGUUGGUUUCUAGGACCGCCGUAAUGAUUAAUAGGGACAGUCGGGGGCAUCAGUAUUCAAUUGUCAGAGGUGAAAUUCUUGGAUUUAUUGAAGACUAACUACUGCGAAAGCAUUUGCCAAGGAUGUUUUCAUUAAUCAGGAACGAAAGUUAGGGGAUCGAAGACGAUCAGAUACCGUCGUAGUCUUAACCAUAAACUAUGCCGACUAGGGAUCGGAUGAUGUUAAUUUUUUAAUGACUCA